rnacentral:rRNA from 1 species
GAUGAACGCUAGCAGCAGGCCUAAUACAUGCAAGUCGAGGGGUAGAAGAGGCUUGCUUCUUUGAGACCGGCGCACGGGUGCGUAACGCGUAUGCAACCUACCUUCAUCUGGGGGAUAGCCCGGAGAAAUCCGGAUUAAUACCGCAUAAAAUCACAGGAUGGCAUUAUCCAAUGAUCAAACAUUUAUGGGAUGGAGAUGGGCAUGCGUGUCAUUAGCUAGUUGGCGGGGUAACGGCCCACCAAGGCGACGAUGACUAGGGGAUCUGAGAGGAUGGCCCCCCACACUGGUACUGAGACACGGACCAGACUCCUACGGGAGGCAGCAGUAAGGAAUAUUGGUCAAUGGAGGCAACUCUGAACCAGCCAUGCCGCGUGCAGGAAGACUGCCCUAUGGGUUGUAAACUGCUUUUAUUCGGGAAUAAACCUUAUUACGUGUAAUAAGCUGAAUGUACCGAAGGAAUAAGGAUCGGCUAACUCCGUGCCAGCAGCCGCCGUAA